rnacentral:rRNA from 1 species
AUACGGAGGACGCGAGCGUUAUCCGGAUUCAUUGGGUUUAAAGGGUGCGCAGGCGGCCGUGCAAGUCAGCGGUGAAAGCCCGGGGCCCAACCCCGGAAGUGCCGUUGAUACUGCAUGGCUUGAAUGCGGUCGAGGCGGGCGGAACGGGGCGUGGUGGGGUGGAAUGCGUAGAUAUGCCACAGAACGCCGAUAGCGGAGGCAGCUCGCCAGUCCUGCAUUGACGCUCGGGCACGAAAGCGUGGGGAUCGAACAGGAUUAGAUACCCUGGUAGUCCACGCCGUAAACGAUGGGCGCUCGUCGUCGGCGGCAGACAGUCGGCGGCCAAGCGAAAGCGAUAAGCGCCCCACCUGGGGAGUACGGUCGCAAGGCUGAAACUUAAAGGAAUUGACGGGG